AAGUCGUAACAAGGUAACCGUAGGUGAACCUGCGGUUGGAUCAUUAAUAAAUUUAUAAAGGUUAAAGAUUUUUACAGAUCUUUAACUCUUUAACAAAUUGUGAACUUUAUUAAAGUCUUUUGGGAUGGUAGUAAUAUUAUCCCAAAAACCCCUUUUAAACAACUUUAAUUUUAUCAAGUCUUUAACAACAUUUAAAUUUAAUUUAAAAAACAACUUUUGACAACGGAUCUCUUGGCUCUC
rnacentral:misc_RNA from 1 species